GCUUGACAAUAACUUAGUUAAAUUAUAAAUUGUUAGUAUAACUUGAUUUUAGUUAAGGUUUGUUUCGUUGGGGCGACGAGAAUAUAAUAAAUAACUGUUCUUUUAACUACAAUUACAAAAAUGCUUGGUAAGUGAUUGAUCCUCUAUUAGAGAUUAAAAGAUAAAGUU
rnacentral:rRNA from 1 species